rnacentral:lncRNA from 1 species
AUCAAGAUUCGAUUGCACUCAUUCGUUUAAAAUGGAUAGCUAAGAUGAAGUGAAAGGUGAAGCAUUCCUCUUCCACUGGAAGCAAAGGAUUUGAGUCCACAGCUCAAAAGAAAAGAUUUUGAGCAUCUAAAGACAUUUGAAAAAAUAGUUCAGAGGUACUAAAGUUACACACAGAAUUUAAAGGAAUGGAAACCCAAUUGUCGAAACCUGUCAAAACAGAAUGGAUGCAAGAAUAAUCAAGAAUGACUCAUCAUAAAACCUGUUCAAUAACAAAUGAGUCCGAUGUACAAGACUAAUAGAGAAAGAAAAUAAGUAUUUAGAGUUUCGAACUGCAUCAAUCGGGUACUGACACAUAGCAAAAUCUUGCCAUCAAACAAGGGAACUUGAUAGGUUGCAACAGAAAAGCCACACAACCACACAAAGUUUGCAGAAAGAUGCUCAAGCAUAGUACCUUGUUUAACAGAGAGCCUACUAAACGCUCAUGGAGUCACCAGAGAAAUCAACAAGGAAGCGAGUAAAAUAACAGAGAGAUAAUAGCUACACACCUAUGCUCUUUUCCCUGCAACCAUCGUGGCCAGGAACCAACACCCGCUUCCAGACAAAAAUGAUGUCCCUUUCUGAAUGUCAAACUUAAUCAAUUUAAAAGGAUCUGGCUCCACGGAACAUGGUGGAACUGCGAGUUCUUAUCGGUGAAACUAGUCCCUGCAGACAACAUCAAAGUGAUAAGGACACCAGAGUUUUUGCGGGAAUGUCGAAUAAAACUGGUAAAUCUAACUAGUAUGCACUACUGGGGGAAGUUAAGGCACUAUCAAACAAAUUUGACCUCGUGCAGGGAAAAACAAGACCACAAGCUCUACAAAAAAAAAUGGGAGAACUGCACCUUCCUGAAGCAAGCAGCUGCCAAGAACUAAUCCGCUUGAAUUUGCGUAGUCAGAUAUGAAAAGCUAUAAUAAUUGUCACUCUACAGAAUAAUCCUCAUGGGACACAUGACUACAGCAGGAAUAGUGUUUCAUGCUCAUGGCCAGGAGAGCAGAGCAGGAAAUAAAGCCUUAUGGUAUACCAACACCAGCAGCCAGCUAAAGUAAUUUCCCUGUAAAUAUCAUGACCAAUGAACUAGCAUCUCUAUCCAGACUAAUAACAAUGUGAUCUCCUUAUGAAGGUCAGACUUGAAAAGAAUCUGGUUCCAUGGUGCAACCAAGACAUGUUGACGGCAGAAUUAGACCUUGCCGACAACAUGAAAAGGACAAGGACACGGGAGCUUCCGCAAGACUAUCCAAGAAAUUAAUCUAAAUCACAACAGUGCGGAGGAGAAUCACCCGGCACCAAAUAAGUGUUUGACCCCAUGAGAUGUAUAAUAUAGACGAAAAAUGGAGAAAAGAAAUGCGCCUUGGUGGAGCAAGCAACUGCAAAAGGACUAAUUCGUUUGGGGUUGCAUAGUCAGAUGUGAACAGCUCUAACAAUUGUUGCUUCCAUAGAAUAAGCGUGAUGGUACAGAUGACUACGGCGAAAAUAGAUUCCAGCACAUGGGCAGAGCAGGAACCUAAGCCGUAUGAUUCGCAUUACCAACACCAGAAGCCACCUAAGGAAUAGCACCGCCACGUAGCCAGAUUAGAAUAAAGCGUCAGCAAAUCAACUUGUACUCCACUACUCCAGAUAUGAAAAAGGGAACAGGAAACUGUAGAUAAGAGAAGACCUGCAUGAUCCCGGUUGGAGAAAUAAAAGAUGAGUUUGGGUUAGAAGCGCACAGGUUGCAGGUUCUUGGAACAUGAAUCUGAACCCCUUGAAUCACACAACACCACUACCGCAUCCAUCUAUCAAUUGGGCGAGCUUUGCAGAAGGAGAAGCCUCUGUUGCUCGUCUCAGUGGUACGCCAUGGACAUGCCAACUAGUAUACAAUCAAGAUGCAAUGAUUUACCCCGGAAUAAAUUAGUUGAUGCGAGACCUCCUAGACAAACCAAAGAAAGACGGCACAGGAAAAGGCUUUAUUUAUUCCACUGCUUCAUGCAAGUCAAAAUGGGUAGGAGGAAAUCAAGCGAUUCAGCCGUCAUUUCCACCUUAGUUCGUAUGGAAAAUUUCUACCAAAGUUUCCGGUGAAAAGCCGGCGGGAGGUUUGGACCGGGUGAACACCCCGAGCACGCAGGACAAGUCAAAUCGAGCGAGCGAGCUUACACACUGUGUUCAACCAGUAGGAGGCAUCGGGGUUGUCGCACGGAAGAAUCAACGAGCACGACGGGGACGUUUCUAGACAAGCCAAAUCCAGCCGUUUCUACUGAGAUCGACGGCGCCGACAGAUGUUCGGAGGGACUCACCAGCGUUCAUG